rnacentral:pre_miRNA from 1 species
UGAUGAUAACUCCAACUUAGCUAAAUAUGAUUUUUAUUCCUUGCAAUUUCCGAGGCUACUGAAUAAUUGCCUGUGGUGAGAAUGAUGAGUUAAAUGGAUUUGUGGA